AUGAACGCUGGCGGCGUGCUUAACACCUGCAAGUCGAACGGUGAAGGCGGAGCUUGCUCUGCUGGAUCAGUGGCGAACGGGUGAGUAACACGUGAGCAAUCUGCCCCUGACUCUGGGAUAAGCGCUGGAAACGGCGUCUAAUACUGGAUACGAGCUGCGAAGGCAUCUUCAGCAGCUGGAAAGAACUUCGGUCAGGGAUGAGCUCGCGGCCUAUCAGCUUGUUGGUGAGGUAACGGCUCACCAAGGCGUCGACGGGUAGCCGGCCUGAGAGGGUGACCGGCCACACUGGGACUGAGACACGGCCCAGACUCCUACGGGAGGCAGCAGUGGGGAAUAUUGCACAAUGGGCGAAAGCCUGAUGCAGCAACGCCGCGUGAGGGACGACGGCCUUCGGGUUGUAAACCUCUUUUAGCAGGGAAGAAGCGAAAGUGACGGUACCUGCAGAAAAAGCGCCGGCUAACUACGUG
rnacentral:rRNA from 1 species